AUUUCGCUUGCUGUUGUAUACGAGAAAGGAACAAAAAGACGAGUCUCAUGUCACGUAGACUGAACAAUUUAAAAACGGCAAAAUUGGUCGUCGUAUGCGCUAAUUAUUCUUAAUGCGCAAGUUAUUCUCACCCUUUGAUUUCAGAAAUCAAUAAGGAAAAUUCUUGUUAAAAUUCUGUAUUCUUUAAAAACAAUAGGUUGGCACAGCAGAAGCAGACUGGCAGGGUUGUUUACAAUGGCGACGCAAUUAGUUGAGGGAGGAGACUUUGACUUGCUGUCUACUAUAUAUGACAUAAUAAAAAGUGUCGAAAAAGAACAACAAGAUAACGCCCAAAAGCAGAAAGAUAGCCAAGAAGCUGGUCAAAAAGUUCUGGAAUUACAAAGAAAGUUGGAUCACGCAAGAGAAGUGGUUAAAAAGCUUCCCGGAAUUGAACUCAGUAAAGACGAACAACUGCUACAAAUUGAUUUACUUAGAAGACAACUCACACUGAAAAGAGAUCUUCUGAACAAAUACAGAUUGAUUACUUCUUUUGAUCGUGAAGCUCAGUCAGAGUUUCAAAUUCACCAACAUUAAUUAUGGUUUUCCGUUACUUUUUCAAUUACUUUGCCAACAACCCACAAGGUAAGUCUUUGGGAGAAGGUGUUAUUCAAGAAAAACUAAAGGACGGAGCAGGGAGAGUUAGUUCAUUUCAUGGAAGAUUCAAAGAGGAACUCAAGCAAGGAAUGAAAGAAAUUAAAGAUGCUAAAAAAAGGUGACCAAGAUCUUCCAAGAAUUAUGUAUUUCUUUUACUUGUAUUGUCAAUAAAGUAGUGCUGCUGCA